GAUGAACGCUGGCGGCGUGCCUAAUACAUGCAAGUCGAGCGAACAGACGAGGAGCUUGCUCCUCUGACGUUAGCGGCGGACGGGUGAGUAACACGUGGAUAACCUACCUAUAAGACUGGGAUAACUUCGGGAAACCGGAGCUAAUACCGGAUAAUAUAUUGAACCGCAUGGUUCAAUAGUGAAAGACGGUUUUGCUGUCACUUAUAGAUGGAUCCGCGCCGCAUUAGCUAGUUGGUAAGGUAACGGCUUACCAAGGCGACGAUGCGUAGCCGACCUGAGAGGGUGAUCGGCCACACUGGAACUGAGACACGGUCCAGACUCCUACGGGAGGCAGCAGUAGGGAAGCGUCCGCAAUGGGCGGAAGCCUGACGGAGCAACGCCGCGUGAGUGAUGAAGGUCUUCGGAUCGUAAAACUCUGUUAUUAGGGAAGAACAAAUGUGUAAGUAACUAUGCACGUCUUGACGGUACCUAAUCAGAAAGCCACGGCUAACUACGUG
rnacentral:rRNA from 1 species